rnacentral:lncRNA from 1 species
ACCAAAGCUGGUCUCUACUGGGGCUACACCGUCCGACUGGCUUCCUGCCUCAGUGCUGUGUUUGCUGAGGCCCCCUUCCAAGAUGGGUAUGACCUGACCAUCGGGACGUCAGAGCGCGGCUCAGAUGUGGCCUCUGCCCAGCUUCCCAACUUCAGGAAGCCAUCCUCAUCUCCCUGGCCGCCCUGCAGCCUGGCCUCAUCCAGGCGGGUGCCCGGCACACCUGAAAGUUCUAAGGGGCCGAGGACAUCAGUGAAGCAGCAGUGAAACCAGGGGCUCUGCAGGUCACUUGGGACGGACGCCACCAGACUUGUCUCCAAAAAUCACCACCUUUAAUACUCCCCGGCCUGCACACACCCACAGUCUCACUGGGCUCCACCCUCACUUACUGCCCGCCGUGAUGGCCUUGAGGCUGCCUGCCCGCGCCAGGAUGUUUGGCACAAAGAGCAGCCCCGAAGCCCGCUCAAUGCUCUCGAUGGGCACCAGGAAGCGCUCCAGUGGGAUGGCCUCAUCCACAGGUGCGUUGGGCAUCACGUAGGUGCGGAGCUCAAUUUGCCCACCUGCUGCCUCCAGGAUCAGCACCUUGAAGAAGUGUGUGGGCACUGCCACGUGGUUCUUGCCGAUGACCUGGUACUUUACGUAGGAUUUCCCAUCAGCCUCUGUCCUGUGGGCAGACCCAGGCACACGUGGGCAGGGGGCCUGGAUGAACCCAAAGCCACCUCUUCCAGGCAGCCUUCCCUGAUCUGUCCUCUAACUUCUGUCAACCUGCAGGACCACGCCCUCACUGUGAGACUUCUGUAGCCUGCCUGGCUCCUCCUUGAGGCUGGAACUCUCUCCAGGGUGGUUAACUCUUUCCCUCUGUUUUCCUUAUGCCCAACACUGGGUCAGGCAGAGUGGGCGA